UGGGGAAUCUUGGGCAAUGGGGGAAACCCUGACCCAGCGACGCCGCGUGGGGGAUGAAGGCCUUCGGGUCGUAAACCCCUGUUAGGUGGGACGAACGUCUUCCGGUGAAUAGCCGGAGGACCUGACGGUACCACCAGAGAAAGCCCCGGCUAACUCCGUGCCAGCAGCCGCGGUAAUACGGAGGGGGCGAGUGUUGUUCGGAAUUACUGGGCGUAAAGGGCGCGCAGGCGGCUUGGCAAGUCGAGUGUGAAAUCCCUUGGCUUAACUGAGGAAUUGCGCUUGAAACUACCUCGCUGGAGGGCGGGAGAGGGAAGUGGAACUCUCGGUGUAGGGGUGAAAUCUGUAGAUAUCGAGAGGAACACCGGUGGCGAAGGCGGCUUCCUGGCCCGUACCUGACGCUGAGGCGCGAAAGCGUGGGGAGCAAACAGGAUUAGAUACCCUGGUAGUCCACGCCCUAAACGAUGGGCACUAGGUGUGGGCGGUAUUAAUCCCGCCUGUGCCGUAGCUAACGCAUUAAGUGCCCCGCCUGGGGAGUACGGUCGCAAGGCUGA
rnacentral:rRNA from 1 species